UCAUGAUCUCGCAAGGAUGAGGAAUCCAGAUGCUGCAACCCAGAAGGAAGAGAGUCACGUGGGUCAACAAUAACAAUCUGCAGAUGGAAGUCAAGGAGCAAAAGAAUCACUCUGAAGACAUGGUGGUUAACAUUAACAAUCUGCACAGAGAAGUGAAGGAGCUAAAGAUACACUUUGAAGAUCUUCUGUUGUCUUUGGAAAACAGACUGAAAACCAGAAACAAUCACCUGCAGACUGAACUUUCAGACAUGGCGGUCAACAUUAACAAUCUGCAGAGAGAAGUGAAGGAGCUAAAGAUACACUUUGAAGAUCCUCUGGUGUCUGUGGAAAACAACAGACUGAAAACCAGAAACAAUCACCUGCAGACUGAAAUUUCAGGCAUCAACAAAACUUUUUUGGAUGAAAUAAAACAGCUGAAAAAUCAGAUUGAAGGUGAGAAAAGACUGAAAACUAAUGGAUGA
rnacentral:lncRNA from 1 species